GCAAGCUGUUCGUAAAUCACAUGCUUUGUACCUUUGAUUUAGUCGCACCCAUCAUUGACUUGCAUUUCAAAUAGCAUGUGUUCACCGCCGGAAGAUUUCCCUAUCCUGUAGUCUGAUGACCCAAUCUAACAACCUUGAGCACUAAAAAACACCAGAACCCAACUCAGUCGCCAGAUCCACCGGAUUAUCCCCGUUAACCAGCCAAAUUCCAUGGAGAAGUUACAACCGGCGACCAAUUGACAGAUCAGGACUCUAGAACUCGCCGCCGUCAUCUCAGACGUCUGGUUCAGUUAGCGGCGUUUGGUGACAUCGAAACAAAAGUUACCGCUUCCUCGACGGCGUUUGGAGCUGGUUCUUCCAUCACGGUCGCUCCGUUCUCUCGUCCUCGUCUCUCUCACUCCUCUCU
rnacentral:lncRNA from 1 species